ACUACUACUACUUUCAUUACCAUUACUACCAUUAUUAUUAUUACUACUAUUAGUAUUAUUAUUAUUACUGCACAUAAUUGUUUAUUUAUUUAUAUAUCAUAAAGUUAUUAUUAGAUUACAUUUCUUGUAUGGGUGCAUCUACUGUGUCAGUAUGUGAGUGACUAUGUGAAAUGUUGAUUGUUUGAGUAAACAUGUACUGAUUUUUGUAUUUCGUAUUAUUUUCGAAUGGUUACUUACAUUAAUAUUUGGGUUAAUACUAGUAUCUACUUUUGAGACAAGUAUAUUUCUUUAAUUGCAUUGCAAUUAACAUUUUUUUCCCUUCCCUACGUGGCUGUUUCCUCCUCUCACCUGCACACAAGGGGUGGCCAGUCCUUGGAGUGCUUCUGAUGCAUUUCAAAAAAAGUUGCUUCUUAGAAAGAUUACCUUUAUGGAAUAGAUGUACAAAAUCGACUGAGAAGAUGAAGUUGUACAAAGCAAAACAGAUCUGGCUUAAAUUCAAAUUAUACAAGUCCUUUUCAUUUUCAGUUAUAAAGUGUUAUACAUGUUCUUUUGAUUUUUUCGCCUUUUCCUCUCUCAAAUAUUCCAGUGUUUCCAUUAUGUGAAUUGUUAUUUUUGGUAUUGUUAAUGUUUUUAGUGUUACAAUUAAAUUUUUUGUUACUUUUAUUUUACUCUUGCUAUUCAUUUCAUCCUUUUUAUUUGUAAUCAUCUUGGUAUGGAUAGUUUCAUGAAGGACAAGUUUUUUUUUCAGGUAUAUUGACCCAACUACUGUAGCUUAAAUGACAUUGAUAAAGUUAUCUUCACAAAAUGUGAAAACAUUUUCACUCUAAGGAAGGUAAUUUUAAAGUAUUGGGGAUAGGAUUUUAUUGAUUCAAUGGCCAGGUCAAGGGAAUGGAAACAAGUUGAACACCUUUUAGAUAUUGUCAAGUACUUGAUUAAUGAUGAUGAUAACAAUAAUUAUAAUGAUAAUGAUCAUAAAAGUAAUAAAAUCUAUUACAUUAGAUUAAACAUUUCCCAGCAUGUAAUAAAUUGCUCAGCAAUUAAUGAAAUUUGAAUCUUCUCUCAGAUGGUAUUCUGCCGUGGAAGAGGAUAUGGCUACCGACGCAACACCAGGAUGGGUGUGGUGACCUGAUAUGGAGCACCAUGUGAUGAACAGGACAACAGUUAGGCACUGCAGGAGGGUGAUGCAUUAAUGGGAGGGGUGGGGUGGCAAACAUAGGGGUAUAAAAGAGGGAUUCACAACUACACAGGGUCUAGUCAGAGUUGGUUGGCCUCUGCUGGGGAUGUGCACCCUGGAGUUAUGGUGAGAUUAGUUAUUGCUGAGGAUAGAAACAUAAGUGCUGUUUUUCCCCAUUUAGAAGUCUUGCAUUACAAUUUAUUGGGUGUAAUUAGACACUGAUUUUUAUGCAAAGCCUUAUAUGUUAUAUAUCUUUUAUGAAAAUAUUUCUAACUUGAUCUAGAUUCUUGCUUUCGCCAAAUUAAAUAUUUCAUGAUUUUAACUGUGGCAAUCAUGUAUAUUAAUGUUUAUCAAAAGUUUCUAUAUUUUAUGUUAUAUAUGUGUUUGUAAAGCUCUUGUGUUUCCCCAUUUUGUAAGAUAUCUAAUAAAAUGUGAAAAUGAAGAA
rnacentral:lncRNA from 1 species